GGAGAGAUCCGCUCCGGGCUGAAAUGCUUAACUGGUGACCCGCGGGAUACUGCGCUGCCUUAGCUCCCAGCAGGGCUUACUCUGCAUCUGCAUGUCCCCCCCUCCCCGAGAUGCUGAUGCUGUGAAGGGGAGAUGGGGGCCAUGGGGCUGCCUCUGCUGACACACACGCUGUCGGUGAGCCUACGUGUCCCAGAGAGAGUGAGCCCUACAACACGGCAUCCGAUUAUACACAGAGCUCCAGGAUGAAGCCCUGCUUUCUCUGUCAUUACGGACGCAAAGCGUGGCUGUGCGAGCUGAGUAGCGCGAAUCACAGCGUGGCACUGCACACAGCAGGUCGGGGAGCACCUACUUCCCCUGCUGCCAUGAAUUGACAUCCCGGUGGACUCUGGAUGGAUUGUGACACAGAGCCGUUUCCAUCUAAUCCUGACCCUGAGUGGGAGACGUGGGGAUUUGUGGGCGCAGAAGCUGCGGGGAUGCUCAGCGUUCUGCAGAGCUCACAGCACUCGUGGUCCUCGAUGGUAACCGUGCAGUCACUGAGCGCGGGAGUGCUCCGAGCUAAGAGAUCUGUGGUCUCAGAUCUGGAGAACCUUCAAGAAGAAGUCUGAAUGGAAGCAGGAGUAGAGGAAGCCACCCCCUCCUCAGCACACGUCCCUCAUUCGGCAUCAUCACGCAGACAGGAAUAAUGCGCUGCCCUGCUAUCGCACUGCGCUCUCCUUUGGGACCGCAGGCAAACCAGGUUACCCUUACUGUCUUGCAAUCCCAACCUGUAGAACAGAGAUAGUGCUGCCUGCAGUAAGUGCCUGCCAAGUGCUUGAACGUGAGGGCUGUUACUGCAAAAUACCAUGCAGCUCUCACCUCGGCUGCCUGGGGCCGGCACAUGGGGCACAGCGGAGCUCACGCACACCAGCAGUGCUUUCCUGCAUGAUUUCCUGCUCCUGCGAUUCAAGAAAAGCAAACCGAAACAAAGCAAAGCAAAAAACCAAACUGGGCAAAAAGGGAUUCGAAAUUCACCCAAAUCCCACUUCCCUCUGCAAAUUUAAUUCCCGCAAUUGUUACAAGUAACACGUACGGUUACUGUGGCUGAAAGAAAUGAUAAAAAGCGUUUCAUUCUCUCAGCUCGUUUGCUUCCUACAUCUGGCACUGUUUGUGUGCAGGCAGCUUCGCCGUUUUUCUGAGGUAGAUCGCUUGGAAAUGGAAGCUGAGGAGUAACAGCGCGAGAUGCUGUCUUAAACUGUUUUGCAAAUGCUUCUGCUUCUAACGACCAAUAGACAAGCUAAGGCCCUUGGCAAAAAUGAUAUGACAAUAAAUAACAUAGCAGUUUGCAGUGUUAUUAUAAUGGUG
ensembl:lncRNA